CCCUCCAUCGCGGGCCUCCUUCCACCUCCUCUCCUCUCCCAACCCAUACUAGCACACAAAGGGAUAGGAGCCUCCUCCCCCUCCUCCCGCACCCCCGCCACCGCGUGCCGCUUCCGCGACCUCGCCUCCCCCAUCCCGUCCCACCUUAGAGAGAGGGAGCGGACACGCCAUGGUGGAGGACAAGGAUUCGACCUCGGUCUCGCUUAGCCAGGCGGCGGAGGCCGUCGACCCUGAGGACCCGACCAAAUAGCCGCCGCGGCAACCCCACCGUUGAGAUUCUGUGAUCUUCCCUGUUUGCAAUGUUUGCUGCUGGAAUUAGUCACAGAUGGGAAUGCAAUCUUGAAGUCAGAGGAUGUCGUGCUUCCAUGGCUUGCUUUUAGUUCAACAUUGCUAGGGGAUCCAAUAUCUGGCCUCCAUUGCACAAAAAGAAAUUGUUUGAGAGCGUCGUGUUGUGGUAGAACUUUGUGCUUCAUCAGUCAUCCAAAGAGCAUGGGAAAAGUUGGUGCAGGUAGUGUCAUUAUAAACAUGAUGCUUCCCAUGGAGUUCCUCUCCUCUUAACUUCUUAGGAUCAAACUGGUUACCUAUAACCCAGUAGGGAACACAUGGACUUGAAGGUACGGCGGUGACGACGACGAUGAUAUUGACAUGGGGUUGCGGCAGCGAUGACGACAUCGACAUGGGGCUGCGGCAGCGGUGGUGACGACAACAAUAUCGACAUCGACACGGGGCUACGGCGGCGACGAUGACGAUGACGUCGAUAUCGACAUGGGGCUGCGGCGGUGACAAAGAUGACAUCCUCACGAUGCUGCAGCGGCGGCGAUGACGAUGACAUCAACACCAUCAAACACGGGCUUGUGGAGGCGCCGACGCCGAUGACCUAUAGGCGUGGCGUAUAUUGUGUAUAUAUAUGUAUUAAUUAUCUAUAUCAGAUAUGUAUGAUUGACUGUAUGCAUAAAAUGUAUGUAUUAUGAAAUGCA